CCGCGUUUACGCGCUGUGUAUUCACGUCUCGAGAUCGCGUGUCUCUCCGUAUGAUAUAGAAAUCCUCUAACGUGCUACCAAGCGGAUGUGUGUGAUGCUUUCCUGGGACGCCCAGCAUUUUGCCUGCUUGGAAAAAAAAAAAAAAUGAAACAGAAGUAGUUUUUAACCAGCUUCGCCAGUGUGUUAGCAGCGGUGUUUUUACCCCCCACGCCGGGACCGGCGCGGCUCUGCCCCCUUCGAGACGCCCAGCGCCGGCGUCAGCGGGGCGGGGGGUGAUUUUAUGCAGCUAUCGCUCGGGGCACGUGGGGACAGCCCUCGUUCAGGCUCCGGUUGAGCAAAUCCUUUUGAGUCCAGCUCUCUCCGGGGGCGAAAGGGAAACGCUGGGAGCUAAGGAAAGCUUUUAAUCGAACACUUGUAGAGGUUUGCACUCCUUUAUUUUUUUUUUCCCCCCCACCUUUGGUCUGGCAGCGCUGACGAGUGCCAGAGCUGGUUGCUGUGCGGUCUGCUUGUAACCUCAACCCCAAACGUUGCCACAGGAUGUUACGUGAAUGUGUUUAAAAUGGAGAAGGGAAGGUCAAAUCAGGAAUAUUGAUAUGAAGGGAAGGUCAAAUCUCUAUAUAUUCGUACAUAGAGGGAGGAAGGCAGACGGGCUGAGCUACUUGACUUGCCCAUCAGUCCGUCUCCUUCCUCCGGUAAGAAGUGCUGCUUUGUGGACGUAGGAUGGCUUUUGUCGUGCUUAGCCGCACCAUUAAGAUGCAUUUUCUCGGUGGUGGUGGUGGUGGGCCAGUGCGUCCUCCAGCCGUGCCGGCAGCAGGUUGGGGGGAGCAGCGUUUCCCCACAGCGCCAGCCGCUAGGCAGGAGGGAGCGACCUCUCCUUCCGGGCAGGAGGAACCUGCCUCUGCCCUUUUGGAGUCCAAGGCCGUGUACAGACUGACACAUCUUCAGUCUCUCAAGACCUUUGAGGAGCCUCAGAGCACCUGAGGGCUGGAAGCAGCUCACAGCUUCCAAACCUAGAGGUGAUUUGAUGCUUCUGUGCUGCACUCCCACGCGAUCGAGACGUGCUCAGGCUAUUCAACAGAGACGAGGGCAUGAAAAGAUCCAGUGGGUGGGAGAUGAGCGCCAAAAGCCACCCGUCCCCGUGCAACGGGUGGUGAGGUACCAGCCGACCGAAUAAACCGGGCUGGGGGAGCCUCGGUGCCUCACCUCGCCACCCUUCCAGCUCUCCAGCGGACAGAGAGGAGCGGUCUGCUUCCUCCGGCAGGAGAGCAGUCGCUGAGGCAAAAGAGGCGAUUCCUGGUUAUAAGGUAGAGUGAGAAAGAGUCAUUUCCCAGCGUGACGGGGAUUUUGCAAGGGUAAAGGAAGGAGCCCGGAGCCUCGCCGGCCUCAAACGCAGAAAUUGCAUCUUAAUGGAGACGCUGGCUCCAGGUGGGGCAGGUGGAGUUAAAUAAAGCCAAAGACUGUCCGGCUGCUAGCAGAAAUGAGUGAUUGUAGUUUCAUCUGAUGUUCUGUAAUUGUGUUUACAAUAUUUAUUUUUAGUGAAUGACUGCAAUUAUAUAUAUAUAGGCUUCCUUAUUUUUGUAUUUUACACACUAUUUUCCUCAGUGUGGUAUUGUAUUUCUCAGCUCCCCUUUGCCACAAUUGCUGCUCCUAGUCAGUGAAAUAAAAGAACAAAAAACAUGUUCUCU